rnacentral:rRNA from 1 species
GGUUAAGCGACUAAGCGUACACGGUGGAUGCCCUGGCAGUCAGAGGCGAUGAAGGACGUGCUAAUCUGCGAAAAGCGUCGGUAAGGUGAUAUGAACCGUUACAGCC